rnacentral:rRNA from 1 species
GACGUAGGGGGCGAGCGUUGUCCGGAUUUAUUGGGCGUAAAGAGCUCGUAGGCGGCUCACUAAGUCGGAUGUGAAAACUCCAGGCUCAACCUGGAGACGCCAUUCGAUACUGCCAUGACUAGAGUUCGGUAGGGGAGUGUGGAAUUCCUGGUGGAGCGGUGAAAUGCGCAGAUAUCAGGAGGAACACCCGUAGCGAAGGCGGCACUCUGGGCCGGAACUGACGCUGAGGAGCGAAAGCGUGGGGAGCGAACAGG